rnacentral:rRNA from 1 species
UACGUAGGUCCCGAGCGUUGCCCGGAUUUAUUGGGCGUAAAGCGAGCGCAGGUAGUUUAUUAAGUCUGGUGUAAAAGGCAGUGGCUCAACCAUUGUAUGCAUUGGAAACUGGUAGACUUGAGUGCAGGAGAGGAGAGUGGAAUUCCAUGUGUAGCGGUGAAAUGCGUAGAUAUAUGGAGGAACACCGGUGGCGAAAGCGGCUCUCUGGCCUGUAACUGACACUGAGGCUCGAAAGCGUGGGGAGCAAACAGG